rnacentral:tRNA from 1 species
GUAGCCUAGUGGACAUGGCAUCUGCCCGGUAAGCGGAACGUUGUGGGUUCGAUUCCCGCCCUGGACA